rnacentral:rRNA from 1 species
ACUCCUACGGGAGGCAGCAGUGGGGAAUUUUGCGCAAUGGGCGAAAGCCUGACGCAGCGACGCCGCGUGAGGGAUGAAGGUCCUAGGAUUGUAAACCUCUGUCAGGAAGCAUUAAAUGUACGGGCGUUAACACCGCCCGUGCUUGACUUAACUUCCAGAGGAAGCCCCGGCUAACUACGUGCCAGCAGCCGCGGUAAUACGUAGGGGGCAAGCGUUACUCGGAUUUAUUGGGCGUAAAGAGAAUUAAGGCGGUCAUGUAAGUCAGUGGUGAAAUCCCCCGGCUCAACUGGGGAAUUGCCUUUGAUACUGCGUGACUUGAGGACAGGAGAGAAAGGCGGAAUUCCCGGUGUAGCGGUGGAAUGCGUAGAUAUCGGGAGGAACACCUGAGGCGAAGGCGGCUUUCAGGACUGGUCCUGACGCUGAUAUUCGAAAGCUAGGGGAGCAAACAGGAUUAGAUACCCUGGUAGUC